rnacentral:rRNA from 1 species
AGUGAACGCUGGCGGUAGGCCUAACACAUGCAAGUCGAACGGCAGCACAGUAAGAGCUUGCUCUUACGGGUGGCGAGUGGCGGACGGGUGAGGAAUACAUCGGAAUCUACUUUUUCGUGGGGGAUAACGUAGGGAAACUUACGCUAAUACCGCAUACGACCUACGGGUGAAAGCAGGGGAUCUUCGGACCUUGCGCGAUUGAAUGAGCCGAUGUCGGAUUAGCGAGUUGGCGGGGUAAAGGCCCACCGAGGCGACGAUCCGUAGCUGGUCUGAGAGGAUGAAGAGCCACAGUGGAACUGAGACACGGUCCAGACUCCUACGGGAGGCAGCAGUGGGGAAUAUUGGACAAUGGGCGCAAGCCUGAUCCAGCCAUGCCGCGUGGGUGAAGAAGGCCUUCGGGUUGUAAAGCCCUUUUGGUGGGAAAGAAAAGCAGCAGGUUAAUACCCCGCUGUUCUGACGGUACCCAAAGAAUAAGCACCGGCUAACUUCGUG